GGUUGUAUUAAGUCAGAUGUGAAAUCCCCGGGCUCAACCUGGGAACUGCAUUUGAGACUGUACGGCUAGAGUUUGGCAGAGGGGGGUGGAAUUCCACGUGUAGCAGUGAAAUGCGUAGAGAUGUGGAGGAACACCGAUGGCGAAGGCAGCCCCCUGGGCCAAUACUGACGCUCAUGCACGAAAGCGUGGGGAGCAAACAGGAUUAGAUACCCUGGUAGUCCACGCCCUAAACGAUGUCAACUAGGUGUUGGAAGGGUUAAACCUUUUAGUGCCGUAGCUAACGCGUGAAGUUGACCCNCUGGGGAGUACGGNCGCAAGGNUAAAACUCAAAGGAAUUGACGGGGACCCGCACAAGCGGUGGAUGAUGU
rnacentral:rRNA from 1 species